rnacentral:rRNA from 1 species
AGAAUCAACGCUGGCGGCGUGCCUAACACAUGCAAGUCGAACGAGAAAGUGGAGCAAUCCAUUAGUAAAGUGGCGCACGGGUGAGUAACACGUGACUAACCUACCCUUGAGUGGGGGGAUAACCUAGGGAAACCUGGGCUAAUACCGCAUAAUACCUUCGGGUCAAAGGAGCAAUUCGCUUAAGGAGGGGGUCGCGGCCGAUUAGUUAGUUGGCGGGGUAAUGGCCCACCAAGACGAUGAUCGGUAUCCGGCCUGAGAGGGCGCACGGACACACUGGAACUGAAACACGGUCCAGACUCCUACGGGAGGCAGCAGUGGGGAAUUUUGCGCAAUGGGGGAAACCCUGACGCAGCAACGCCGCGUGGAGGAUGAAGCCCCUUGGGGCGUAAACUCCUUUCGAUCGGGACGAUAAUGACGGUACCGGAAGAAGAAGCCCCGGCUAACUUCGCGCCAGCAGCCGC